rnacentral:rRNA from 1 species
UACGGAGGGUGCAAGCGUUAUCCGGAUUCACUGGGUUUAAAGGGUGCGUAGGCGGGCAGGUAAGUCCGUGGUGAAAUCUCUGAGCUUAACUCAGAAACUGCCAUGGAUACUAUUUGUCUUGAAUGUUGUGGAGGUAAGCGGAAUAUGUCAUGUAGCGGUGAAAUGCUUAGAUGUGACAUAGAACACCAAUUGCGAAGGCAGCUUACUACACAAAUAUUGACGCUGAGGCACGAAAGCGUGGGGAUCAAACAGG